ACCAGCUCUCUCCAACACGUCUCCGUGGCUCUUGGGGCCCUGCAGGUGGUGGGCACAGCAGCAUCCCACCCCCACAAAUCCACAUGACUCCCCAGUGCACGUUAAUGCUGCCGUGGGACCCCCGUCACCUGCAUGGGUGCUCUGGGGCAGUCGCUAGGGAGAGAGCCCAUGAUGUCACAGUCCCGUUGCCAAGGAGCCAGGAAGUCGGGCUGCGGGGACUCAGCAGCAAUGCGGAGGGCCCUUACCUCUGGCAGCUCUCCUGAGGCCAGCAGGGCUGGGGGAUUAUCCCCCGACACUGCACCCAAACAGAAGAACUGUGAGGAAAUGCUGCUGGAAUAACUCACCAAGGGCAGCGCCAGGCCCCAAAGCGGAGCGGCCAGUACCAUCCACAGGAUCCUACCUUAACAGAUCAGCUGCCUGCUCAAUAGAAAUGUCCUCCACAGCUUCGUUGUUUAUCAUGAGGAUAUGAUCACCGGGCAGCAGCUUCCCGUCGGCUGUGCUUCCUAGCAGAGAUCAGCAGCCAGUCAGCUACUCGCUCAAAACAGCUUCCCUAUGGCUUGUGCAGAUCACAACCGUAGGUGCUGCUAUUCAGUGGAGCAUCUACAUUUGGUUUUCCAGCCCCAGAUGGACGCAUGGGGCUACACAAUCCGGAGCUGUCCUGGGAACACCGCUUCUACCACCAUUAUGAACAGAGAAAGGCUAGAGCCAAAGCUCGCUAAGUCCUGGAAAAGUUCAGAUCCAGAUCCAAGCUUCUCAU